rnacentral:rRNA from 1 species
AGAACGAACACUGGCGGCGUGGAUAAGACAUGCAAGUCGAACGCUGACUUUCAGGUAGCAAUAUUUGGAAGUCGGAGUGGCGCAAGGGUGUGUAACACGUGGGUAAUCUGCCGUGAAGACUGGGAUAACUCGCUGAAAGGCGAGCUAAUACCGGAUGUGAAUGUAAAUUCAAAGUUGGGGACCGCAAGGCCUGACGCUUUACGAUGAGCCCGCGGCCUAUCAGCUAGUUGGUGAGGUAACGGCUCACCAAGGCUAAGACGGGUAGC